rnacentral:rRNA from 1 species
UACGUAGGCAGCAAGCGUUGUUCGGAAUUACUGGGCGUAAAGAGUGUGUAGGCGGUGCUCUAAGUUCGUUGUGAAAUCUCCCGGCUUAACUGGGAGGGUGCGGCGGAAACUGGAGUGCUUGAGCGCGGGAGAGGAAAGCGGAAUUCCUGGUGUAGCGGUGAAAUGCGUAGAUAUCAGGAGGAACACCUGUGGUGUAGACGGCUUUCUGGACCGUAGCUGACGCUGAGACACGAAGGCGUGGGUAGCAAACAGG